rnacentral:tRNA from 1 species
GCCGGAAUAGCUCAGUUGGUAGAGCAACCGCCUUGUAAGCGGUAGGUCCCCAGUUCGAGUCUGGGUUUCGGCACCA